UACGUAGGGUGCAAGCGUUGUCCGGAAUUAUUGGGCGUAAAGAGCUCGUAGGCGGUCUGUCGCGUCGGCUGUGAAAACUCGGGGCUCAACCCCGAGCCUGCAGUCGAUACGGGCAGACUAGAGUGCUGUAGGGGAGACUGGAAUUCCUGGUGUAGCGGUGAAAUGCGCAGAUAUCAGGAGGAACACCGGUGGCGAAGGCGGGUCUCUGGGCCGAUACUGACGCUGAGGAGCGAAAGCGCGGGGAGCGAACAGG
rnacentral:rRNA from 1 species